UGCGCCCACACUGGAUGAGUCGGAGGCCGUCUCACGUGUACUGUGUUGACUGUCAAUGUCUCUGGGAGCCCAAUUCCCGGAAGCUGUGAGUUCUGAGAGAAGUUCCUGGGCUCGGUGCCCUGAGUCUGCGAAUCCCCACCAUGAGCACCCCAGGCGUGCUGACCUUCACCCAGCAAGCCUGGGAGCAGGUCCUGGCCAAAGUGAAACGGGCCGUGGUCUACCUGGACGCCGCCUGCGCCGAGAGCCUGCACUGGGGCUGCGGGUCCUCACGGCUGCUGGAGGCGGUGGGGAACUCUGCGUGUUACCUGCGGGAGUUCGAGCCCGCCGCAGUUGGUGGCGGAGCCGAGCAGCCCAAAGCGGUGUUUGUGUUGAGUUGCCUGCUGAAAGGCCGGACCGUGGAGACCCUACGGGACAUCAUCUGCCGCAGUCACUUCCAGUAUUGUGUGGUGGUCACGGCUGUGAAUCACGCAGUCCACCUCACGGCUAAUCACGUGCCGCCGGCGGCGGCGGCUGAGCUGGAAGGGCAGCAGCCAGUGUUCGAGCAACUGGAGGAGAAGCUGUGUGAGUGGAUGGGCAACAUGAACUACACGGCUGAGGUGCUGCAUGUCCCGUUGUUACUCGCAUGUGCUGCUCCCCACCUUGCCUUGACUCCAGCUUUUGCUUCCCUUUUCCCACUAUUACCCCAGGAUGUGCAUAUCCUCAACCGUGCCCGAUCGGACAAGAGGAGGCUGGGAAACCUGGCUGAGGUGGAUGCCACUACCCUAACCCCUGAGCUGCUGCUGACGAUUAGGUGCCUGGUGUCCGGCCUCAGUUCCCUGUGUGAGCAUUUAGGGGUACGGGAGGAGUGUUUUGCUGUAGGUUCCCUCAGUCGGAUCAUCGCUGCAGAUCUGGCCAAUUUUGCUCCCGCCAAGAACAGGAGGAAGACCGCCACAGGCAGGGCAUCAGUGGUCUUUGUGGACAGAACUCUGGAUCUCACAGGGGCUGUUGGACAUCAUGGAGACAACUUGGUGGAGAAGAUCCUUUCAGUGCUUCCCCAGCUUCCGGGCCACACCAAUGAUGUGAUGGUUAACAUGGUGGAACUCACUGCACUCCAGGCCGAGGAGGAGAAUCAGAAUAUGGUUGCACCCGGCUGUCUCGCACAGUCCAACGACCCCGCAGCCAAAGCCCUGUGGGAAGCCUUAUUGAACACCAAGCACAAAGAGGCAGUGAUGGAAGUCCGGAGACAUCUAGUGGAAGCAGCAAGCAGAGAAAACCUGCCAAUCAAGAUGAGUAUGGGGAGAGUCACUCCGGGACAGCUCAUGUCCUAUAUUCAUCUCUUCAAGAACAACCUCAAAGCUCUAGGGAAUCACUGUGGGCUCCUACAGCUUGGGCUGGCCACUGUUCAAACUCUGAAACACCCGCAGACUGCCAAGUGGGACAACUUUCUGGCUUUUGAAAGACUCCUUCUCCAGAGCAUUGGGGAGUCGACAAUGUCUGUUGUGUUAAAUCAGCUGCUUCCCAUGAUUAAGCCUUCGAACCAGAGGACUAAUGAUGACUACAGCCCCGAAGAGCUGCUGGUCCUCCUGAUAUAUAUUUAUUCUGUCAGUGGAGAGUUCUCAGUGGACAAAGACCUGGGUGAAGGUGAAGAAAAAGUGAAGAAAGCGUUGGCUCAAGUCUUUUGUGAGGAGUCUGAAUUGUCACCUUUGCUGCAAAAAAUCACAGGCUGUGACUCUUCAAUUAACCUGACAUUUCGCAAGUCCAGAAGUGCCGUGGAUGAACUCUUUACUUCGCUUCGGGAUAUUGCUGGAGCUCGGAAUCUCAUGAAACAGUUUAAGUCUGUAUAUGUUCCUGGAAAUCAUACCCACCAGGCAUCCUAUAAGCCGUUGUUGAAGCAGGUUGUGGAGGAAAUAUUUAAUCCCGAGAGGCCAGAUCCCGUUGACAUUGAACACAUGUCUUCAGGCCUCACCGAUCUCCUUAAAACUGGAUUUAGCAUGUUCAUGAAGGUGAGCCGGCCUCAUCCCAGCGACCACCCUCUUCUGAUUCUCUUCGUGGUGGGCGGGGUCACAGUCUCGGAAGCCAAAAUGAUCAAAGACCUUGUGCCAUCCCUGAAGCCAGGAACCCAGGGACUGCCAGAGGCUCAAGAACCCCAGAAUUCGAAUCCCAGUUGCGUCGGUGGUGUAGAGGGUCGUCUGGCCAUCAGCAGUUUGUUUCCCUCAUCUGAUGAAGGAGGAGAGUGGAAACGAAGAUGGCUGAGGUCCCUCCCGAGGGGCAGAGGAUCAGUAGGAGAGGGUGGGCGAUCCGGCUGCAGCUCCCACCUCUCCCCCACGCCUCGUUUAACCGCAACUCUCAGUGGGGGCCGCCCAACUCCAGCCCCAGAGUGGAAAGAACCCUUCAAGCAUACAAGGAUCCUGCUGCUUCUCUCUCCAACCCGUCAUUUGUACAGAAGACUAAGGAGCCGAGGGGAAUAAGUAUCAGUCCCCCAGAAAUGAUUGCUCUUGGGACACUUGACGGGCUACUGGGAUCAGGAGGCGAACGAAGAGGAUGGCUUUGCAGCCGGAGGCCACUGCCAGGGGCAGAAGAUGGAGAGGGUGCUGUGGCUGGCCGGCUGGUGUCUUGGGAAGCAGAAUUGAGGCCAACGGCCCAAACUGGGGGAUAAGACGAGGAAACGACAGGGCGAUGGUGAGGACGGCGCAAGGAGAACAGAACAGGCAGGUCACAUCCACUGAAAAUGCUUCGGGAACCAGAGGACCAGCUAAAAUGAGAUGGGAAUAGGGAGGGUGUGGCUCAGGGAAGCAGAAGCAGAGGAAGGGGUGUGGUGUCUCAGGGAACCAAGGGGGUGAGUUUAUCUGGGAUUUGGAUGGGUGGCUGAUUCUGGAAUCUACGUGGGAAGGAUGUCGACAAGGAGGGAGAGUGACGGGGAGGGUCUCCUGGACCUUCCUGGGGGCUGGCCACCAUGCUGCACAGCCAGCGUCCAGUCUGUGCAGGUACAGACAGGCUGGCCCGUAAGCUCACAAGGGCAGGGACUGUAUUCUCUGUGCCUUGCACAUACUAGGUCUCAGUAAAUAUUUGCCAAAUAAAAUUAAUGAAUAGAGCAGAUUUUGUGCAGGAACAGGUCAGACUGUUUCCUGUUGUUCGCUGUCUCGUGUGGGUCUUAUCCUGGUACCGAGGGGACUCACGUGCCUUCCCUGACAAUGAUACUACCGAUUAGGCACAUACCAUGUCCCAGGCACUAUUCCAAGAGCUCCAUAUGUAAUGACUCAGUUAAUUGUUACCACAAACACACAAGACACGGCUAGUACUGUUGUCCCGCUAUUUACAGACAGACCCAGAAAAGCUCAGUGGUUUGUUCAAGAUGAUACAGGUAGGAAGUGGGAAAGGCAAUGUUUGAACCCAGACAGUCUGGCUCCAGAGCCCUACCACCCACAGCCUGCCGCCUGCCUCUCAGGAUGCUCUACCGUCCCGCCUCUCCAGGGCCAAGUCCCUCUAUCCUCAGCCUUCCUCUUGCUUUUUCAUCUUCUAUGCAACUUGCAGGUGGAGGGGCUUUAUGUUUGGAAAGGAAUGUGUGAAACGCAAGGGUGAAGAAAGCAGCAGGUUGGGG